GUGGCUUCUUGCAUGACACAUAGGUAAAACUGGAAUGACUUGGAGAUUAGUACGGCCCCUGCUCAAGAGUGACACGCAAAUUUAGGGAGCCCUUCCAUAUCUUU
ensembl:snRNA Gm55166 U6 spliceosomal RNA